GUUGCUGCCUUCUCUCUCUUUUUUUCCUGCUGUCAGCUAUUUCAGGCCUCCAGGGCUUUUUGUUCACUGUCAAUUAAAUAACUUUCCAGCCAAGCUGUUAGUCCAACAUUAAUUGAGUUCAGUCACUGUGUUUUGUUUUAAUGCAAGUAUGAAGCAAAAUUAAACAAAUGCAAAUUAAAUUAAAUACAUUAUAAAUAUGAAUUAUUUUUGUCCAUACAUGCUACUCCUAAGUAGAAAAUAGAGAUGAUAAACAACAUUUUCAAGUAACAGGACGAUUUUGUGCACACCGCCAAUGUUUUAUUUAUUUAUUUUAGACGUAUGACACGUAACUGUUUUUUUUUUUUUUUUUUUUUUUUUUAAUUCAGAAAUUCUAAGUCAUAAAUAAAGAACACCAAUAGUGAUAACAAUAGCAAAACUGAAAUUGCGGAAAUGAACGAAAGUAACAGCAAGAGCGGUUUAAAGCUACAGUGACAUUUACAUACAAAGAGUCCUGCUCUAUAUCAGCACUGGUUUAAAAUAACUGAGGGAGUUGUUGAUUCAACUGUGUUUUCAUUUCGGAGGCUGUGGUUUGUAGUAGUUUGUAAUGGAUUAUAUUGUGUUUUACUGACAAAAGUUGACAUUAUUUUACUCAGUGGGGUAGGCUGAAUAACAAAACAAAACAAAACAAAACAAAAAAAUGUUUUACAGCACCACAAAUCAUCUAAAAAAUAAUCAUACAGUUGAAUUACCACCUUUCUGGCGCUGUUUCAACACAAACUUCACAUCGUAACAUUCGUGAAGGGGGAUUUAGUGCAGGACUGAAUUUGUACGCUCAGGUAACUAAUGACUUGGCAAGUGAGUGCAAAUGUACUUCGCCUCCAGCAUUACUGAGUGCAGUUAGUCUGUAACUUCAAAUCAGAUAUCAUAGCCAUGUUUUUUUCUUUUCUUUUAUUAAAUCUUCACCCGGCCUGAUAUCUAAAUUACUCACUUUUGAUCAUGUUCAAAUUUGGAAAGUCUUCAACAUCACUUUUACAACACUGUAAUGCAGAAAUUAUUUUUCCUCCCUUUAUAAACCAACAGUGCGCGUGCUCGUUAUUUCUUCAAAUUAGCGCGAGACCUUGUUUUGCGGCGACAACAAUACAACCAACUCCCGGAGGAUGGAAAAUUUUGACAAGUUUACAGAACAAGCUAGCUCCGCCUCCUGCGCUGAUCUGGAAAACGUACUUGGAGGGCUAGACUCUUUGUUGACCUGCAUGGAUCAACUGGCACGCAUAACGUUGUGGCCACCUGUGCCUCCAAAAAACUGUUGGAGCAGCCACCCCCCAGCUGCAUCCUGCUGGGGAUGGCUGCUGCGAUCAAGGAGUGUCAUUGCUGCAGGGUGGGGGUGCUUGGUCUGGUCUAGGUGGGUGGGAACAUGACUUAGUAACAUCAACACGAAUGCCAGGUCCAAAAGUUUCCCAGCAGUACAUUGUAUUGACACCAGUGUUUUUUUUUAUUUCUCCUGUCAGCGGUUUUAACGUGGCCAAUCGAAUUCUGGUGUUUUCUUAAUGUACUGGUUCGAUAUGUAAUAUUCUAAUACAACACAUAAAACCCCAUAAACAAGAAAUCUUAACAAUUUUAGAGAAAAUGAUUUGGCAGGUGAUUAAAUGCUUUUGCUUUCUGGCUUUUCGCAGUUGGUAAUGAAUUCAGCAUGCACACUGACAUCUUUGUGUGAAUUAGUUUGUAUUGUGAAAUCGGGACACAUUAAGAUACUUUAUUUUCAGUCACAGUGAAGUACUAGUACUGGUUGGCAAUAACAUGAGAAAACAGAAAGGAACACAGUAUAUACUGUUCAAUUUUUCCAUCCAGACUUUGUAGUCUCAUGUGUAAAAAUUGUUGGUCUGGUCCUGAGGCAGUUAUAAACAAGGUACAUACUCUCUUUCUACAGUGCGGACCCAUCUGAAACAAUGUGAUCUAAUCGUUUGUAUUGGCCACCCUGACAAGCUGGCGUCCCUCAAAACCCAGGAGGCAGAGGAGCAUCGGUCCACGGCUUGAACGGAAGUGGAUGUAAGAAGAGUGGAGAAAGAGAAGGAUGAGAGUAGUGACACUGAAAGAUGCACCACCUGACCUUGUUCACCAAUCUAAUCGCAGCUUCAGCUUGCUGCCUGGUCACCUUUCCUCCGUACCAGCUGGGGUCCAAAGUCUGGAUUCGCCGUAAUAGCACAGGCAUGUUAAUGGAGUGAAUCAGCAAAUUAUUUCUGCUCGGUUUCAGCUGCUGUGACUCAUGUGUUUAUCAAGUUAGGACAGGUAAUGAAAUGAAUUACCCUCAAAAAUAAAAAGCAGUUUGUUGAGUUUUAGUAGGAGACGUUGUGUUCUUUUUUACAACACCGCCAUCUGCUGUUUCCCUUUUGCAAGUGCACUUGUGUAAUUAAACAGAUGUAUUGCACCCUGU